rnacentral:rRNA from 1 species
UUGGAGGGCAAGUCUGGUGCCAGCAGCCGCGGUAAUUCCAGCUCCAAUAGCGUAUAUUAAAGUUGCUGCAGUUAAAAAGCUCGUAGUUGAAUUUCGGAACCAAUAUGUUGGUUGUGCCUCGGUACGUACUGGCAUUGUUGGUUUCUCCCUUCUGACGAACUUUGAUGUCAUUAAUUUGGUGUCAUGGGGAAUCAGGACUGUUACUUUGAAAAAAUUAGAGUGUUUAAAGCAGGCUCACGCUUGAAUACAUUAGCAUGGAAUAAUGAAAUAGGACGUUUGAUUCUAUUUUGUUGGUUUCUAGGAUUGACGUAAUGAUUAAUAGGGAUAGUUGGGGGCAUUAGUAUUCAAUUGUCAGAGGUGAAAUUCUUGGAUUUAUUGAAGACUAACUACUGCGAAAGCAUUUGCCAAGGAUGUUUUCAUUAAUCAAGAACGAAAGUUAGGGGAUCGAAGACGAUCAGAUACCGUCGUAGUCUUAACCAUAAACUAUGCCGACUAGGGAUCGGAUGAUGUUAAUUUUUUAAUGACUCAUUCGGCACCUUACGGGAAAC